AUUUAGUAGAGUAAUUACCCUAGUUGAGUGCAAUCCGUUGUAAACUCACCCAAUGCCAUACGUGAGUUCAACUCAUCCCUUGUGAGUAGUUCUUCAAUUUUCCAAUGAAGGUCGCACUUGAAUAGUAGUUAGAGAAUCAAUUUUGAAGUUCACAUGCUAUACUAAUCUUCACUGAAACAACAAGCUCAAUCCAAGCCAAGCUUCACAAAAGAAUUUUGAGCUACCACUAGUCCAAAUUCAGCGACUUGGAUAAGUGAAUACGUCACUCCAUUAAAAUUCAGACCCGAGAAUCAAUCGUUGUUGGAUGAAAAGUAACGCUCUAAUGCAUACACUCCAUAACAGAUUCAAGAGCCGGUUCUGUACAGGCCUGGAUCCAUGUAGCCUACACCAUUUACUGUACAUCAUCUUCAAUUGCGUUCUCCGAACUCAACAACGACGGCAAUCUCCGGCCAUACAGCGUUGCCAUCACAUCCUCCUAAGAUUGGCUAUCCAGACGGCUAUUUCUUCAACAAGAAAUUUUCUUUAGGUUUUCCUGUGAGAGGUUCAAGGAUAUUCUAAACCAGGGUUUCAUGUUCCUGCGAUACUUGAGCUCUACAAGAUAAGGUCCCUAGAAAUCUGAAGAAUGCACACCAGAAACAUCGCGUUCAAUUUCUAGUUCGGAGCUGCUCUUUUGUCGUACGUAUCUCCUGGUUUUUGUCUCCUCCAUCGCAAGGGUAUCCGGAGCUAUACAUGUUUCAUCUCCCCCAUAAACCAUGACGAUUUAGUAUUCUAAACAUCUGAAGCUUGUCCUGAAAAAGUAAUACUGAUUCAAGUCUAUUACGUAGGAGCUGGGUCUGUCAAAAGCCUUCGAAGCAUUAUUUGUCGAACACGCCUGGAGAACGGAGCCACCCGCACUACCCUUGCGAGGAACCAUACAACCAAUAUGGUACACUCCUCAAUCAGAUGCACGACCACUGCCACGAGUAUCAUCUUGACAGAGUUCAAACCCCAGUGGCAACUCCUACUGAAAAGGCUCGAUUAUAGAUGCCAUGUCCGAAGCUCACAACUGUAUAACAGUGAGAAAAGAAGGGCGGUCUAAAAUCGAACAUCUGAAAUCAGUAACCCGAGUUCAAGCUUCCGAAGUACUAAAGUAUAUAGAUUCACAUAAUUGAUUCGCUUCACGUUUGAGAAGAAAACGAAAAAAGAAAAACGCAUUCAUGGACUGGAUAAGUGAAUCAACACACAGAGGACAAGAACCUUCCACAUGCUACUAGCACACGCCGGUUAUUAUGUGUAGUGUCCAUGCAUUCGAUGUUCGUUAUCCACGUUAUCAGAAACUCCGAUUCCAUCCAUGCUUGCUUUCCAUGAUUUGCUACGCCACAAACAAAGAAAGGAAAAAUUAGAUUCAGACUGCUGCAAUGAUUCUUUCAGCCAUUAUUGUCGACUAAUUGCAAGAGAAGAGCCACAAGACAUGAUGCAGGGAAGAAUACGAUUGUACUACCACUAGAGGACAACUAUAGUAGUGACUCGUUACAGCGGUAAGGAGAUGAGUAUUGAAGAUGAGUUCCCGAGGGUUACAAAUUUCAACAGCAAAUUAUAAGAUACAAUUAUAGUUGCCUUGUCGCGAAGAAAUCAAAGUAAGAUGAUAAACCCUAAUUCAAAAAAACGGAACUGCAAGAUUCAUGUGUGCACUCUGAACCUUACGCAAGCCACAUCCUUUGAACUAGUCGUCUCUGUUUGGACACCAAAUAAUGGUGAUUACCAACUUUCAUCAUACAUCAUCUACUGAGACAGGACAUGACCGGUUCUGAGAGACCAACAUGAUUGCCACCGUCAUAUUUCUAUAUCUCCCAAAUGAACAGCGACUGCAGCGAUUCAAAUAUAUCUACACAUGAUGAAAGAGAAGAAACAAACAGACAAAACGAAAGACGAUUUCACACCCCAGCCAGAUUAACCCAUUCAUUGCUCAAUCCAUUUCCAUCAAAAGGCCACACUAUCCCAAACUCAGAAUGACUCUACUUCACUAGUCAACCACAAGCACACGGCCGUGACUGCGUCACCACACGGGCCGGUAUUUCUCAACGGCAUUCGCAUCGUGGACCAAAAACACGAUGAACAGUGACCAGGCAAUCUCAACUCACCCAAAUCAUGACAAGAUCUCUUCAUAUUCCACCAAACCGAGGGUAAACGGAAGUAAUUCGACCCCACCAUCACCAGUAAUUAAGACAAUCCAGGAGGAGAAAUUAAAGCAGACGAUGAGCGAGCUGUAGCGUGAACAACAGCCAUCUGGGGGGGGGGGGGGGUCGCUACCGCAAGUGCUGCAAGAGGGGAUACACGGCAGAAACGAAGUGGCUAUUGCAACAUGGUGUCCAAGGGCCUGGGAUCGUGAAAGUUCCUAAAACACAUGGCAGGGUUAGUCCCUGAGCAAUAUCGUGAAACAGCGCAGCGCUGUUUGUGGCCCACUUGUCGGACAACCCUGGGUGAUUGACCGUGUCAGAGGCAGCAACGCCUUAUGCCAUGCUUCCUCCCUCGCCCACUCCGUCCCUCCCUCCCUCUCGCUGUGAGUAAACCCAAGCACCCACCCGUCCACUCACCCGGUGCUGUAAUUGCGCACCCUCUCCGUUGAGAUCACGGACACCGAGCAACGCAGUCCCCACGGCUCCUCCUCACGCGCGGGCGCGCGCACACACACGGCGUCCCUAGUGGGCACCCCUUGUGGGGACUGCGAGGGUGCAGAUGAAUGAAUCUAUCCAUCCAUUUCGACGAACAGUGGUGUUCUUCU
rnacentral:lncRNA from 1 species